CCCCUUUCCGGCAGGUGCCGCCCCCCUCCCUCGCCGCCCCCCCCGCCCGGCGCUGGAUAAGGAUGAGGCCAUUCAGAAGCUGGAGAGUCUGGAGAAGAAGGAGGAGGAGGUGACAUCGGAGGAGGAAGAGGAGAAGGAGGAGGAGGAAGAAGGGAAGGAAGAGGAGGAGGAGGAGUACGAUGAGGAGGAGCACGAAGAGGAGACCGAUUACAUCCUCUCGUACUUUGACAACGGCGAAGACUUUGGGGGGGACAGCGAUGACAACAUGGACGAGGCCGUGUACUGACCCCCCCGGACCCCUGUCACCCCCCACGGACAUUGGGGUCCCCAACACCAGC